rnacentral:rRNA from 1 species
UCGAGAAUCUUCCGCAAUGGACGAAAGUCUGACGGAGCGACGCCGCGUGGUGGAUGAAGUACUUCGGUACGUAAACACCUUUUAUGAGGGAGAAAGUAUAUUGAUGUUACCUCAUGAAUAAGGGGCUCCCAACUCUGUGCCAGCAGGAGCGGUAAUACAGAGGCCCCAAGCAUUAUCCGGAUUUACUGGGCGUAAAGGGUGCGUAGGCGGUUAUAUUAGUCAGGUGUUAAAUCCUGGGGCUCAACCCCAGAACUGCAUUUGAAACGGUAUAACUAGAAUGAGUCAGAGGCUUAGAGAACUCUCGGUGUAGGGGUGAAAUCCGUUGAUAUCGAGGGGAAUACCAAAUGCGAAGGCACUAAGCUGGGACUUUAUUGACGCUGAGGCACGAAAGCGUGGGUAG